CUUUGGUACAAUGUUUCGUUUUUUGCAAGUAUCAUGCAAAAUCAUGAACUUUUUUUCUAUUAAGUAGCAAACUCCAUUACUGUAAUAGCUAUCACUCAGGCUCUUGUGUAUAUGCAAGCUAAGCUCUUUUUCUUUUUUCCAUCACAACAUCAAUAAUAAAACAAAGAAAGCACUAUCAUUGAUCUUUUAAAAAAUAAGGCACAUCUCAGUUAAAGUAAUGAUUACAAUCAAUAACCCCGGUAUAAUGUAUAUGUGAAAAGACACACAAUACUACCGUAUAGUCAU
rnacentral:lncRNA from 1 species